rnacentral:rRNA from 1 species
UACGAAGGGGGCUAGCGUUGUUCGGGAUUACUGGGCGUAAAGGGCGCGUAGGCGGACAGUUUAGUCCGAGGUGAAAGCCCAGGGCUCAACCCUGGAAUUGCCUUUGAUACUGAUUGUCUUGAGUAUGGGAGAGGUGAGUGGAACUCCGAGUGUAGAGGUGAAAUUCGUAGAUAUUCGGAAGAACACCAGUGGCGAAGGCGACUCACUGGCCCAUUACUGACGCUGAGGCUCGAAAGCGUGGGGAGCAAACAGG